AACUUUCAGCAACGGAUCUSUUGGCUCUCGCAUCGAUGAAGAACGCAGCGAAAUGCGAUAAGUAAUGUGAAUUGCAGAAUUCAGUGAAUCAUCGAAUCUUUGAACGCACCUUGCGCUCCUUGGUAUUCCGAGGAGCAUGCCUGUUUGAGUGUCAUU
rnacentral:rRNA from 1 species